rnacentral:lncRNA from 1 species
AGCAAAAAAGGUGAGAAAAUGAGGCUUUUGGUGAUCGAUUUUGAGAGGAAGCCACGGUGGUGAAGAGAGGAAGCCAUGGUGGUGAACAGAGGAAGCCACAGUGGUGAAGGGAAGCCACGGGCUGGAAAGAAAAGAAAAAAGAAUUAAACGAUUUUUUACAGCUCCCCUAUAUGUUUAUCUGUGAAAUAAAUCUGUACUUCCUCGCAUAUGGGGGG